rnacentral:rRNA from 1 species
ACACGUAGGAGGCAAGCGUUAUUCGGAUUUACUGGGUGUAAAGCGCGUGCAGGCGGUUCGGAAAGUUGGAUGUGAAAGCUCCUGGCUUAACUGGGAGAGGUCGUUCAAAACUACCGGACUAGAGGUUGGUAGAGGGAGGUGGAAUUCCGGGUGUAGUGGUGAAAUGCGUAGAUAUCCGGAGGAACACCAGUGGCGAAAGCGGCCUCCUGGACCAAUCCUGACGCUCAGACGCGAAAGCUAGGGGAGCAAACGGGAUUAGAGACCCCGGUAGUCCUAGCUGUAAACGAUGUGAACUUGGCGUCGGUGGGUUUAAAUCCAUCGGUGCCGAAGCAAACGCGAUAAGUUCACCACCUGGGGACUACGGCCGCAAGGUUAAA